GGUUCGAUCAUGGCUCAGAUUGAACGCUGGCGGGAUGCUUUACACAUGCAAGUCGAACGGCAGCACGGGACUUCGGUCUGGUGGCGAGUGGCGAACGGGUGAGUAAUGUAUCGGGAACGUGCCUAGUAGCGGGGAUAACUACGCGAAAGGGAAGACCACGUAUACGCCCUUCGGGGGAAAGCGGGGACCUUUCGGGCCUUGCACUAGAGCGGCCGAUAUCGGAUUAGCUAGUAGGUGGGCACGGCUCACCAAGGCGAUGAUCCGUAGCUGGUUUGAGAGGACGACCAGCCACACUGGGACUGGAGGAUAUCGGCCCAGACUCCCACGGGAGGCAGCAGUGGGUCCUUACACAAUGGGGAAACCCUGAUCCAGCCAUCCCGCGUGUGCGAUGAAGGCCUUUCGGGUUGUAAAGCACUUUUGGCAGUGAAAGAAACGGCACGGGAUAAUACCCCGUGCAACUGACGGUACCCGCAGAAUAAGCACCGGCUAACUACGUGCCAGCAGCCGCGGUAAUACGUAGGUGCGUUAAUCGGAAUUACUGAAUGUAAAGCGCGCAGGCGGUUCGAAUAACCAGCGGAAUCCCAGAGCUUAACUUCUUUGGAACUGCAUUUUUAACUACCGAGCUUAGAAAACGAGGGGAGGUGCAGAACGCCAUAGCAGUGAAAUGCGGACAUGCGAGGAACACCGAUGGCGAAGUGCAGCCUCCUCAAGAUAACACUGACACUAUGGUCCAGAAAGCGUGGGGGAGCAAACAGGAUUAGAUACCUCUGGUAGUCCACGCCCUAAACGAUGUCAACUUAUUGUUGGGGCCUCGGCCCUGGUAGCGCAGCUAACGCGUGAAGUUGGACUGCCUGGGAGUACGGUCGCAAGAUUAAAACUCAAAGGAAUUGACGGGGACCCACAAGCGGUGGAUGAUGUGAUUAAUUCGAUGCAACGCGAAAACUCACCUACCCUUACACUACCGAAUCCCGGAAGAGAUUUGGGGGAGGUUUCGCAAGAGAACCGAACACAGGUGCUGUGGCCCGGCUGUCGUCCGGGGCCGUGAGAUGUUCGGCUAAGUCCCGCAACGAGCCAACCCUUGUCAUUAGUUGCUACGAAAGGGCACUUAAUGAGACUGCCGGUGACAAACCGGGAGGAAGGUGGGGAUGACGUCAAGUCCUCAUGGCCCUUAUGGGUAGGGCUUCACACGUCAUACAAUGGUCGGGACAGAGGGUCGUUAACCUGCGAGGGCUGAGCUAAUCCCAGAAACCUGAUCGUAGUCCGAUCGCAGUCUGCAACUCGAUCGCGUGAAGUCGGAAUCGCUAGUAAUCGCGGAUCAGCAUGUCGCGGUGAGAAUACGUUCCCGGGUCUUGUACACCGUCCUGUCACAUCACAUGAGUGGGUUUUACCAGAAGUAGUUAGCCUAACCGUAAGGAGGGCGAUUACCACGGUAGAUUCAUGACUGGGGUGAAGUCGUAACAAGGUAG
rnacentral:rRNA from 1 species